AAGAUGCCGAGGUUCGAGGUAGGAAAGAUCCCAACAACCAGUUUCAAGGGCCCUAGCCUCAGAAAACUGCAUCAAUGUCUUCUGAACGGCCAUCAAGCUCAAAGCCCUGCUCGUUUCUUCAGGAAAGCUUAUUAACAAAUACAUUCAGCACAGCUUGCAGGAAGCAGCAAGUUUCAUGUAGAGUACCACGGCGUCAUCAUGCAAGUGUCUGUCUGAGCAUGGCCAGUAAGAGAACUGGUGGUUUCGGUCCAUGAAAGAGCUGGGGUUCCUGGAAGUUUUUGGAAUGCCUGGCCACGACAUUGGUUGGAGUCUGACUGGGCCCCAUGCAGAAAAUGCCACACUCUGCUGAGCUGACAUCUUUGUGUUCUGCUAGGAGGCCCAGGAAUUCAUAAAAGAAAAGAACUAAGGCACUUGAAAAUUUCGAAGGUAAAACUGUCACCCGUGCAAAUCAAAUCAAAAUUAAUAAUGUUUUUCUGACUCAAUGCAAAAGGCGAAAACACCAAUUUAGUUGUUGCUGCGGCUGCUUUUCAUGCAGUGCUUUAGAGUUACAGAUCCCACAUGUGGUUGAAAACCGGUUACUUUCCUGUUGGCUUAAACUCAAAGGCAUUUGUAUGUGUGCUAAAAACAUUUCUUACUAUGCA
rnacentral:lncRNA from 1 species